AAAAUCUCCAGGGUGGACGUUGUUUUGUGAAGUUUUCUGGAAUGUGUGUUGCUCUUCGUUUAAAAUACAGACAGCUUUGAAACUCAUCCUGAACUGGUUCUUUACCUGAGGGUAGGAGACAGCAGGUUAUGCGUUUAAGGCCCACCUUUCUCAACCCCACCCCUCCCAUCCCAGAAGACUAUAAUGUUAAUGCAGAGGUCAUGGAUACGGCAGGCAAACAUGAAUAUGACUUGAAACGGUUUCAUUUCAAGGUGUCGACGGAAUCCAGAUCUCUCAUUUCCCCAGGAAUAAAGCCCUCGACCCUCCCCGCCGCAUGGCUCUCACUCCAGUAUGACGCUCCUCUGUCCAAGACUUUAUCCAUUAGAUAGAUAAAUCUCUUUUUCUUCUUCUGUCGUGCCAAUGUCCAUUUGCCGUGUCACACGCUUGAAAGUUAUUACUAACCUCAGAACAAGAGCACCGUGCAAUCUACCAAAAAGCAAGAGAGCUUCUUAUCUGUCUGGUUUAUGGCCACGGUGUAAUAGAUCAAUCGAAGAAGUUAACUGGAAAGAAAGGAGCUGCUUUUGGCCUCGUGUAACCCCUAUAAUGCCAACAAUGUCUCUGUCUGCAAAAGUCCAUAAGACAUUGUGCCGUGAUAAACGUGUAUGUGGGUGAGAAAGAUGCAUCUCAGACAUUGUUAUUUAAUUCGAGGUGGUAAGGUGAUAAAUUGAAACCAUGUGUCCAGCUUUCAAGCUAAUUUUAUAUUCAUUUGACAAAAUUGUACAAGUAAAUAAACAGUUUUAUAAUUUUAUGUAUUAAGCGAGUCUAAAAUGGAUAUACUCUUGAAUGAACCUUGCUGAUAAAAAUGGUAAACUCAUAAAUACUAUUAUUUUAAUUCCCUUUAUCUCUCUGGUUUUUAAUUGGUAAAAUGUUAUUUUAUUAAAACAAAACACUGAUUUCUAAAGUUCAGAUCACAGUUCCGAAAAUGAUUGAUUUGUCCUGUGUCAAAGGUGUCCAUGUGUAUCUGCAGCAGAGCGAGUGAUUUCAUCAACAGCUUUAUCAUUUAUCAGAGCAUUGGGGAUAUGAAAUGUGGACCGUGAGCUAUUUAGCAGUUAUUGUACCCUCUUUGAGUCAAUUCUGUAUAGAACGUAUUGAGUUUAUCAAGGGCAUGACAGCUGGCUUACAGUUUGAUUGUAUCCCGUGUGAGAUUGUGAAGGCGACAUGGGCGAUGUCAUUUCUGUGUUGCAAUUCUGUUUACACGCGCAACUCGAUAACACGUUUCACAUAUUACACGCAACAUAGUGCACCAGCUUCAGAUGUCUGGCACACUUUCAGUUAAUGCACCUUCUGCUAUUUCCAACACAUCCUGAAAUCACAGCUUCAGAAUGUAAGGCCGUGCCUGCAUUAUCUGAUACUUCAGAUGAACUAGACUUUCAUUAUUGCUAUUAUUGCCCUACUCUUACUGCAAUGAUUUAUAGCACUUAUCAGGAAAAGAGGUAAUUAGAACGUUAGCAUUUCUAUAGCGCCGGGCCAUCGAGACAAUUGUUACAUUUAAGUCUUAGCUGACUUGAAUUUGAUGUUAUUCAUCUUUGAAAUGGGUCAUGGUUUUAGUCAAAUCGGCUCUAUUGAAAAUCCAUUGAACAGAAGAUGAAUAACAGAAUAGAAAAGGCACAUGAACUUUUUACAUUUAGGGCCAGAUUUACUAACAGCUUGCGCCAGCACCUCUUUUGCAGUUAAAAUUCCUUGUUGCACUUUAAUUUUUACAUUUGUUUAAUUUAAAAUUACAACUUACUUGACUAGUAAGGAAUUGCUAUAAAUAUAAAUAUAAAGUUGAAAUAACUUAAGCUAAUUAAAUUUAUUUUUAAAAUUGAUAAAUUUAAGUUGAAUAAACCUAAAACCUAGAUUUUUUUACAGUCUGCUGUCAGCAU